rnacentral:tRNA from 1 species
GGGGAUUUAGCUCAGUGGAAUAAGCGCCUGCUUUGAAAGCAGGCAGUUGUGAGUUCGAUCCCUG